AUAGGGGAGCCGGAGGGAAACCGAGUCUUAAUUGGGCGUUAAGUUGCAGGGUAUAGACCCGAAACCCGGUGAUCUAGCCAUGGGCAGGUUGAAGGUUGGGUAACACUAACUGGAGGACCGAACCGACUAAUGUUGAAAAAUUAGCGGAUGACCUGUGGCUGGGGGUGAAAGGCCAAUCAAACCGGGAGAUAGCUGGUUCUCCCCGAAAGCUAUUUAGGUAGCGCCUCGUGAAUUCAUCUCCGGGGGUAGAGCACUGUUUCGGCUAGGGGGCCAUCCCGGCUUACCAACCCGAUGCAAACUGCGAAUACCGGAGAAUGUUAUCACGGGAGACACACGGCGGGUGCUAACGUCCGUCGUGAAGAGGGAAACAACCCAGACCGCCAGCUAAGGUCCCAAAGUCAUGGUUAAGUGGGAAACGAUGUGGGAAGGCCCAGACAGCCAGGAUGUUGGCUUAGAAGCAGCCAUCAUUUAAAGAAAGCGUAAUAGCUCACUGGUCGAGUCGGCCUGCGCGGAAGAUGUAACGGGGCUAAACCAUGCACCGAAGCUGCGGCAGCGACACUGUGUGUUGUUGGGUAGGGGAGCGUUCUGUAAGCCUGUGAAGGUGGCCUGUGAGGGUUGCUGGAGGUAUCAGAAGUGCGAAUGCUGACAUAAGUAACGAUAAAGCGGGUGAAAAGCCCGCUCGCCGGAAGACCAAGGGUUCCUGUCCAACGUUAAUCGGGGCAGGGUGAGUCGACCCCUAAGGCGAGGCCGAAAGGCGUAGUCGAUGGGAAACGGGUUAAUAUUCCCGUACUUGGUGUUACUGCGAAGGGGGGACGGAGAAGGCUAUGUUGGCCGGGCGACGGUUGUCCCGGUUUAAGCGUGUAGGUGUGUGUUCCAGGUAAAUCCGGUUCACUUUAACACUGAGGCGUGACGACGAGGCACUACGGUGCUGAAGCAACAAAUGCCCUGCUUCCAGGAAAAGCCUCUAAGCAUCAGGUAACAUCAAAUCGUACCCCAAACCGACACAGGUGGUCAGGUAGAGAAUACCAAGGCGCUUGAGAGAACUCGGGUGAAGGAACUAGGCAAAAUGGUGCCGUAACUUCGGGAGAAGGCACGCUGACACGUAGGUGAAGUGAUUUACUCACGGAGCUGAAGUCAGUCGAAGAUACCAGCUGGCUGCAACUGUUUAUUAAAAACACAGCACUGUGCAAACACGAAAGUGGACGUAUACGGUGUGACGCCUGCCCGGUGCCGGAAGGUUAAUUGAUGGGGUCAGCGCAAGCGAAGCUCCUGAUCGAAGCCCCGGUAAACGGCGGCCGUAACUAUAACGGUCCUAAGGUAGCGAAAUUCCUUGUCGGGUAAGUUCCGACCUGCACGAAUGGCGUAAUGAUGGCCAGGCUGUCUCCACCCGAGACUCAGUGAAAUUGAACUCGCUGUGAAGAUGCAGUGUACCCGCGGCAAGACGGAAAGACCCCGUGAACCUUUACUAUAGCUUGACACUGAACAUUGAGCCUUGAUGUGUAGGAUAGGUGGGAGGCUUUGAAGCGUGGACGCCAGUCUGCGUGGAGCCGACCUUGAAAUACCACCCUUUAAUGUUUGAUGUUCUAACGUGGACCCGUGAUCCGGGUUGCGGACAGUGUCUGGUGGGUAGUUUGACUGGGGCGGUCUCCUCCUAAAGAGUAACGGAGGAGCACGAAGGUUGGCUAAUCCUGGUCGGACAUCAGGAGGUUAGUGCAAUGGCAUAAGCCAGCUUGACUGCGAGCGUGACGGCGCGAGCAGGUGCGAAAGCAGGUCAUAGUGAUCCGGUGGUUCUGAAUGGAAGGGCCAUCGCUCAACGGAUAAAAGGUACUCCGGGGAUAACAGGCUGAUACCGCCCAAGAGUUCAUAUCGACGGCGGUGUUUGGCACCUCGAUGUCGGCUCAUCACAUCCUGGGGCUGAAGUAGGUCCCAAGGGUAUGGCUGUUCGCCAUUUAAAGUGGUACGCGAGCUGGGUUUAGAACGUCGUGAGACAGUUCGGUCCCUAUCUGCCGUGGGCGCUGGAGAACUGAGGGGGGCUGCUCCUAGUACGAGAGGACCGGAGUGGACGCAUCACUGGUGUUCGGGUUGUCAUGCCAAUGGCACUGCCCGGUAGCUAAAUGCGGAAGAGAUAAGUGCUGAAAGCAUCUAAGCACGAAACUUGCCCCGAGAUGAGUUCUCCCUGAGACUUAGAGUCUCCUGAAGGAACGUUGAAGACGACGACGUUGAUAGGCCGGGUGUGUAAGCGCAGCGAUGCGUUGAGCUAACCGGUACUAAUGAACCGUGAGGCUUAACCUUACAACGCCGAAG
rnacentral:rRNA from 2 species